rnacentral:lncRNA from 1 species
UCGAUGGUGGCGAUGGGGUAAGAUCUGUGGCACGUGUUCGGCAGUCAUGCUCCUCUUUCCCUUGCCCUGCGCCAAGGGAUGGCAAAGAGGAGGAGGCUACUUCGUGGAUGGGCAAUGGUGUAUGGUGGCUGUGCUGAUGGUGCGCGUGAGGGGAUUGAGGCCACGAGCGACGGUUCCAGGCCUCCAGCACGAGGCACUGCCUCCGUAACCUAAUGCCUCCCUCCGUGUCUCCUUGAUCGGCACACCACACCAUCGUAGGCCUCCCCUCGCCUCUCCCAUCCGCUAGCGCACAAGCACAACGGCAGGCACCUCCGGAUCCUAUCUCCCUUCCCUCGUCCGGACGGUAGGUGUCCAAAUUUUCUGAGAGCUGAGAUAGGCGGCCAUGGGAGUCGAUGCUCAAAGUGAACUUGGGGAGCCGGAUUUCCUCCCUGGUCCGGUUGAUUGUUUUGGUUAGUUUUGGCUCUUUCUGCUGAUGCCAUUACCCACUAGGACCGAGUGAAAUGACUCUUGCUGGUGGUGACCUGUUGAUUUGAUUUCGCAGGGCCUGAUGAUGAUGACGUUUUUCAGCUGACAUGAACAUGGUGUUCUUGAUGUGGAUGAUGUAGCAGGCAAUGGCCACACCGGCCAAGGGUCACAUGAGCAAGUGAACCAGACACUCCUACUGGGGACGGCUCAGAUGCUAGAAGACAUAUGUUAUCAUAUUAUAGGCUCAUCUUCGCUGUUAUAAGUACCACACACAACAUAUGACAUCUCAUAUUACGCCUACACAGGCAAUUAUAACAUGUGUUCCUAAUAUCAUAUGUGCCAAGAACACAAACAGUAGUAGAUAUGGGACUUGCUGUGUCCAAAGCACUGUCCAUUUUUGCGAAAAGGAGUCCCUCAAGAAUCCUCUGAAUAUAAUCUCUUACUGUAUCGAUUCCUUUUUUACUGCUAUCAUAAAAUAAAGUCUGUAGCUACAGUUGCUUGAGUACAGCUCAUGUUUCAGUUAUGGACAUGUGGUUUAUGCGUCUUGGCCAUGUUCUAAAAUUCUAGGGAUGUAAAAAGUGAUCAUCAUAACCAAAUUUCUCAUCUAUGAAAGUUAAGUUAAUCUAUACCCAUGUGACGUUCUUAACCUAAUAUUCUUAGCACUUAAUUUGUAGGCCAGCAGUCAUAUACCCUAGAAAGUUUAUUCAUGGUGCAUUACAACAAUUUUUUAUGUAGUAGGUAGUACAGUAGUAGUAUCUUAUCUUUGCAUAUGUUCUAUCUGAAACCAAUUUGUCAGUAUGUAUGUUUUCCUAUGAUUACAUCUCUAAUUAGUGUACUUUCUUAAAUAAUUUAUCUGCUAAUGUUUAUCCCUUUUUUGUGAGCAGACAUGUCUUCGUGAUCAUCUGUACAUAUGCUAAUGGCAGCUUUAGCAUUGCAAAUCAACCUUUAUAUUUGUAUCAUUAAUUUGCAGUGCAUAGUUUGUGAUUUAAUCAUUCACCCAACUGGUAGGAUCUGAAUCCGGAGGACUCCAUACCAUGGCAUUUAAUCUUCUUACAUGUUGGAAUUUUCAUGCAACAACUGAUGGUAAAGAUUGUGUGGCUAAAUUGGUCGUACUCACAUGAACAAUUAGUUGCACCUUUUGUCUUCUGGCUCCUAAAAUUGACGUCUAGAGAUGAUACCCAAAUUUUGCAGGCUGACAAAAAACGUUAUAGUUUAAUUGAAGGGAGAAUGGAAAUUUCAAUAUUGGCAUCCGUAUAUAAAGCCUUCUAUGUCUUUUUUUAAGGUCACAAACAAGAAAACAUGCAGUCAUCUAUGCUGAUGCUACACGAUUGACGCUUGUGGCCGCCGGCUGGGGGCUGUUCAGGAAAACGAAAAUGGUGGCGUGCAAGGACAACCAAGGAGAUCACAUCCACCUACUUUUGGCUGUUUGUGUGAGUAGAUGGCUUCACCUUGGCUUGCUCUGAGUAUUGCAACGUUGGUUAUUACUCUCCCCUUUGUUAAAAUCUAAGUGCAGGUCUCUCUUCUCUGGCGAGUCAUUCCAAUCAUUCCGUUGGGGCUCUGCAUCCCAUCUGAAUGGGUACAUUACCCAUCCAGAAUCAGCCAUCAGCUCUGCUCCGGUAGAACCUGUUGCUCAUUCCACGAUCAAAUAUUAUAACAUUUUGCUCACUCCAUGAUUUGAUGGUACACAUUUUGUAGAUACCAACAAAAGCAGUGUGGUAGUCCAUCGCUGAAUUGUAUUGUCCUUUGCUUCUGGGUAUAGAACUACAUAUCACAUGGACCUCUCCCUGGAAGCAAGCAAUCAUCUUUGACUCGUGAGGUCUAACUUCCCAUUUCUCUUAGAAUUUUAGAAAUGGUACCAUGCUUACAAGUUAAUGUAGGAGAGUUAAUCCGAACUAUACAAAUGAAGUCAGAGUUUAGUUAAACUUGUUAAACAUUUUUCAUAGAUAAUGUAUUUUGUCUUAUGUACUAUAUGUUAUCACGUUUUUUAUGUAAUAUGGGCUCUUUUGUUAUGAAAAAUAAAAUAGGUGUCUUAAGUAUUCUCUCUUCUCCGUUCAGUCCAUCAAACUAAUCCAUGAUAUAUGGUAUGUAGUUCUUCUCUCAUGGAUGAGCGACCACCUGAAGGUGCUUCGGUAUAGUUCUUCCAUUCUUCAAUGAAAUAUUACAUUGACUUUCCAUGGCCUGGAAGAAAAAGACUGUAGUUAAUUUCUGUGGUUGAGAUAAUUACUACAAAAGGUGUUGGUCUUUUGGUCAGGCUGCAGAUUUGGCUAUUUAUGUAUGUUAUUUUAUAAAUUGUAUCUGGUGUUUGCAAAUAGUUGACAUGUUGGCAUUUUUUCUAAGACACAUGAAGUGGAGUUUUGACCUCUUUGAUUAGUGUCCAACAUAUAUGUGUUAGUAUAUGGAAAUUUAACUUUAUUUUUCAUGAUUCCAUGCAUUUGUGGAAG